GUUUUCAGUUUGGCAGCACAUAUACUAAAAUUAGAACAAUACAGAGAAGGUUAGCAUGGCUUUAAGAAAGGGUGAGAUAUAAAAUUAAGUAUUCCUUAUUUUU